rnacentral:rRNA from 1 species
UACGGGGGAGCAAGCGUUGUUCGGAUUUACUGGGCGUAAAGGGCGCGUAGGCGGCCACCGCAAGUCGAUUGUGAAAUCUCCGGGCUUAACCCGGAAAGGUCAACCUGAAUGACUGCGGGGCUAGAGUGCAGGAAGGGGCAACUGGAAUUCUACGGUGUAGCGGUGAAAUGGCGUAGAUAGUCGAGAGGAACACCUGCGGCGAAGGCGGGUUGCUGGGCUGACACUGACGCUGGAAGUGACGAAAGCUAGGGAGCGAACGGG